GGAUCGAGUACCUCUUCACUGCAAUAAGGCAAGCCCCGAUGCAUGCAACCCCUUCCUUGUGUUUUGAAAUGAUUUUUACACACUUUAAGUCUAGUGAAAUGUGCAUUAAGUUUAUAGGAAUUGUUUGAAAACUAUUUGAUGCAUCGACUACCUUGAUAUACAUUCAUGUUAUAGAUACUUCUGGUGAAGUAUCAAAUAUUGUUUACAAAAAUGCUUAGCCCCGCUUAGAUCUUGUGGAUAGAGGUUGUCCUUUGCAAUAAUGCCUAGCUCAGGGGUUAUCCUGAGAAAGGAUGACUUCUACCUGCAAGAAUAUUUUCAUUGGGAGCAUGGUGGAAUCUUACUACAAAGUUCCCUAUAGUGCUCUGUUCAUCCUUAGAAACAUAAAACAAUCCUAAGGGUGGAAGUACUUAACUCGAGACUUGGGUUAGGAACAGGUGAUGCUCCACCCAAGUUAAUUAAGGAUUGGAUGCGUAUGUAGGCCUGUAUGAUCAAGGACUAUCUUAACUAACCACAUGCCCUGGAUAUGGGACAGGGUAAGCUUGAACCCGGCUAUUCCAUACAUGAAAAGACAAUCGCGCACUGGGAGUGGAGAGAUGGCGAGAGUGGCACGUACCCUCCUGGCAAAGGACCGCCUAAAAGGGGUUGUGUGCUCUCGGGUGGCACUGACCUGUUCAUGUAGUGGAGGAUCCGUGGGAAUGGUAGACAUAUGCAAAAGUUACGAGAAACAUAUGUCGUGUGGUUAGAGAUCCUCAGCUGAGGAAAUCGAUUCGGAUCGCCGUUAUAUCCCCGGAGAGUGGAGACUUGAUCUCCGACCUACAACCUAAGUCAGGAUGCAAACAUUAUGAAUAAAAAUGAUGUUGUAUUGAUGAGAUGGUGAAAUUAGACUAGAUGCAACCAGAGUCUAUUAAUAUUUAAUCUGGCGUUAAAAUAUUGAAAGUAAGGACUCACUUUAGUAAGCUAUUUCUGCAAAAGUAUCUAAGUUUUUUCUUGCUAAAGCCUUUUUCUUGAUUCCUAUUUAACCAGCAUAUCCUUGAGAGUCAUUUUUCCUUAGUCGGGUAAGACUUGCGAAAGUACACUUCGUACUCAGGGUUUUCGAACCCAUGUUGUUGUAGGUGAUGAGGAGUACUCUAGGUGUUCCUGUGGCUGGAGGGCG
rnacentral:lncRNA from 1 species